rnacentral:lncRNA from 1 species
CUUUUAUUACCUAUUAUUUCCUUCCUUAAGUAGAUUGUAAAACAGUCUAUAAAUAGAGACUGUAAUCACAUUUGUAAGACACAUCAGAAAUACAUUCCUUCUAUUUCUUUCUAUUCCUUUCAACUUGGUAUCAGAGCUCCUGAUCUGGGAGACUCUGUUUCUACAAUUUUUUGGCAGCCUUCAUUGCUGCAAAUACUUUUCUAGGCAGCCUU